GACGAACGCUGGCGGCGUGCCUAAUACAUGCAAGUCGAGCGCAGGAAAUCGACGGAACCCUUCGGGGGGAAGUCGACGGAAUGAGCGGCGGACGGGUGAGUAACACGUAAAGAACCUGCCCUCAGGUCUGGGAUAACCACGAGAAAUCGGGGCUAAUACCGGAUGGGUCAUCGGACCGCAUGGUCCGAGGAUGAAAGGCGCUCCGGCGUCGCCUGGGGAUGGCUUUGCGGUGCAUUAGCUAGUUGGUGGGGUAAUGGCCCACCAAGGCGACGAUGCAUAGCAGACCUGAGGGAGGGAUCGGCCCCACUGGGACUGAGACACGGCCCAGACUCCUACGGGAGGCAGCAGUAGGGAAUCUUCCACAAUGGACGAAAGUCUGAUGGAGCAACGCCGCGUGAACGAUGAAGGCCUUCGGGUCGUAAAGUUCUGUUGUAAGGGAAGAACAAGUGCCGCAGGCAAUGGCGGCACCUUGACGGUACCUUGCGAGAAAGCCACGGCUAACUACGUGCCAGCAGCCGCCGCAGUAA
rnacentral:rRNA from 1 species